CUUUUAUUAAUACAAAAUUUGUUGCAAACAGAAUAAGAAUCCACAUCUAAGGGAAAUUGCUGUAAUUUGUAUAAUACAAAUUACAAAACUUUUGCCUAUGAACUAAUAGCUUUAAAAAGCUCUAUUCAAAUAAAACAGAAACAACAGACAAGAGAAAUGUUAACCAAUGUUUCUCUUCCUCUAAAAAAGAAUAAAACACUGCCAGUGUAUCACAAUUAGAAACUGAUGCAUCCACAAACUAACCAAAGUUUCAGACUUGCUGUUCCGCGAUCCAUAUUUGGAAGUUGCAUUUUAAUAAGGUAAUUAGACUUAAAACUAAACUUGUUUUCCUUACUGCUUAUUGACCACUGUCUUUCCAUUCUAGUCCUUCCUUGAGGAUUCUGAAUGUUUUACAUGCAAAACAAUUAAUAGUCUUUAAAGUGUUACCAGUGUGCUGCAGUGUGGUAAUCAUGCAUAUAUUUUGUUGUUUUUUUGUUUGUUUUUUUAAAUCAGGUGAGUUAACACUGAUUAUAGGGCUUUGGAGCGUGAUGUCACGGGAGGUGGGCCACGCCCCCUUUCGCCAUGAUAGUAGGCCAGACACAGGAUACAGCUUCAGCUAUGGUUCGUACGUGAUGUGGUGGCAGUUGCAACGUUAGAUUACACGAUCGUGAAAGCAAGAAGCUGGAUAAUGGGCUCUCUUUUAAUCAUUUUCCAUCCUGGAGGCAACGUGAGGGAUGCCACGUAUCCAAAUUUAUUAAACAAAGACGUCAGGCUUGCAUUGCGGCGGUGAGACGAGCGGAUAUCGAGUUCUGUGCAAUCCCCAGCUUUUUGUUGGUUUGCUCUCCGCAUUUUCUUUCCGGCUUUUGUUAUGCAGCUGCAGAGUCUGAAGGUGUGCCCCGUGCAGAAGUGAUCGAUGAAGAUCUGACAGAAGACCAACAACAAAAUCACCAUGUCAUGGAGUCUGUGGACAGCAGUUGUGUUGGACAAGUGGAGGUUGAGGUACCAGCUGCAAAUGUGGACAGUGGCGAUCGGACAGACAGCAUCACGGAAGCUAAAGGGCAGACGAAGCAUUGUGUGUGCAAUGAACAGGGCAGAGCAGAAAUAAACACAACACUGCUUGAUAAGAUUGUUAAGGUUUGCUGUGUUUUGGUGAAUAUGUGCCCCAGUGUGGUUGUCAAACCAGCGCCAAAUGAAACUUUCUCUUGUUGAGUAUUCAUAAAUUGAAUGUUGUGUUGCAUGUGUAGUUCAUUGUAAAUAAUUGUACUUUGUGUGAAGUAGUUUCAAUAAAACAGAAAAGAAUAGUAUCUUUGUUUUUUUUUAUUCUUGAUCUGUUCACAUGUACUUAGCAAGUACAUAAAAAUGAAAUCCAAACUAUUUACAUGGCAACACACAGCUGGCAUCAAUCUUGAACCACAAAAUGAAACAUUACAGGCUAUUUAGAGCAGCAUGUUGUUGAAGUAUUUCCCAAGAAGUUCAGGAAGGCACACUUUAAGAAAGAAGUCUUGUGCUUGCUUUAAACGUGGUUCCCAGAAAUACACAUCAGGGAAGAUGCGUAUCACAGCAAGGUCUCUCUGUGUCCACACAAACGAGGUCACAGUGGUUGGAGUGCAGUUUCAUUCAGUUGUUGUGAGUGCAGUACCUGAAACACACAAAAACCACUUUUAAUAAAAGGUCUGCAAUUAACCAAGGCUAAUAUAGAUGGUUUGGCUGUACGUGCAAAUCAAAAACUGUAACAAGGAAGUUGUUUAGAAAGUUAUCAAGUUAUCAAGUUCAAACCGACUUAGCUUUGUCUUAACGGCAGCGUGGAGGCUUAAAGAUGGACAAAUCUUGCACCCAGCCGUUCGUGAAUUGGAUGUCGGCCUCCAGGGGUUUAUAAUUCUUAAACUGGUUUGCUGUGUAUGCGCUGACUCCACAGACAAGGUAUGCAAAGAUCGGGAUAGGACAAAGGCUGUAGGUUGUCUGGAUUUCCACUCCGCUUCCUUAUUUCAUACAGGUCCACAUUACCGAUGCACACAAUUUUUUCAAAGUACCGUCUCUUGGCGCAAUCGGUCGCGAUACAGCCCUUUGUCUUUUGCGCUGAUUUUGAGCAUGGUUCUGGCAGUCCCGAUUCCAACACUCCAACACUGUGUGCUUGUUUUGCUUUCUAGCCUACUGACAUGGCGCCGCGAUCCCACAAUGCACUGCGGCGUGACGUCAACUCCAAAGCCCUAUAGGGCAGCAACUAUCAAGGACCGGAAUAAAGAAAAAUUGCUUCGGUAAACUGAAUAAUUAUAAAGUUGCUCUUCAAGCUACUCAAGUGUACCAAACGUGAAACAUUCAUUAUUGAAAGUUAAAAUGUUCAAUCAAAACAUAACACAUAACGUGAGAAUGAAUGAUGGUUAUACAAGAGUUUCACUCCUAUUCACAAGAGCACCAGUCAUUGGUAAUUUACAUAACAGCAUUCUCUGGAUGUGUGGUUUUAGAAAUCUUCCUAUCCAGUAGCGAUUUUGUUCUUCAGCCCAAGGACUUUGGUGGAGAGCUUUUCCCCAUCCAAUCCCAUCAACACUUUCUGAAUGAAUUCAUAAUAGUGCCUCAAUUCCUUGGGGUAGGCUAGGUUUAGUGCAUAGAUUACUCCAAGCAUCAAUGCACAAGCUUGGGCCGGAGAUCCAAUGUUGUCCAUGACAAUCUCGCCUUCAACAAAUAUUCCAAUGUCAUCAUAAUGUCCAUUUUGUCCAUCCUCCUUGUUGAUGACAUAAAUGCCCAUGGUGUGCUUCUUCAGGUCUCUCUGGAUGUCAUCUCCUUCAAUGUCCUAAACAUUUAAUAAAAUGGUAAAAGAAAAACAAUUAACUCUACAAUUAGAGGUGUGUGUGUGUGUGUGUGUACACGCCUUAACGCCCACUCACAUCCUGGGCCAUCUGACCUCAGGAAUUCACAUGAUAGGGUGGGGCCAGGUUUCACAAUGAGCUCACCCGAAACCCUGGCUGAUUGGGACCCACACCCAAUUUCACACCUUGGCUCAUGUGAUUAGAGGAUCACCAGGGGGUCCUUUUGUCCCUCUGUGGGGGGAUUUUUGCACUUAAAGGAUGUUGCUAGGGGACAGCCUUUACCUACCGAUUUAUACACAGGAUUAGAUGUACACAGUGCAGAUGCAAGUUCUUCAAUGACUGACUGGUCUAUUUGCAAGCUGUGACUGUUCAAUGUGUCUUGGAUAACUUUUGCUGCACUACACAAAGAUGCUGUGCCCAACAAAUACUGAAAUUCCUCCAAAAGUUCAUCAACUGCAGCACUUGGAACGUGAAAUAUAUUUUCUAGUUUUAAUAACACUGCCGCAAGCUUUAGCUGAACUACGUCUUCAUGAUCAUUUGAUGUCUCUAAAUCAACAGGCUGUUCGUCACCCCACAAUUCCUCAGCAUUUGAAGCAUCAUGCUCUGCAGUUUCAGUUGCAAAAGAUCCUCUGACAAUAUCCUCUUUGAAGUCUACCAGCGAGUGUAAACUGUGCUUGCGACUUUUGUGUGACUUAAAGGUACUGUAAAUAUUUGAUUUGUAGUCACAACCUUUAAACAUACAUGUUACUGUCUCAUUGUUUUUUAAAUGACGGCUAAUGUGCACAAAAUAUUCACGCUCUGUUCCUAAUUCACUACAACCACAUAACUGACAGGAAAAAGCUGCAAAUUUGUCAGAGUGCUCUGGGGUAUUGCUAUGAUUCCUUGACAAAUGUGUCAGAAGUGAAUUCCAAGUCUUUAAAAGACAUGGACACUCAGGAUAUAGGCACUUAAUGUGAUGGCCACGCCCAAAAUGACUGUUUCAGUCUAUAGUGCUUAAGAAGUUCUGAUUGUCUAGAAACCUCUGCACUGCAGUCUUUACACUUCCACAUAAACUGGACAUACAACAAAGAGAGAAAAUUUGAA
rnacentral:lncRNA from 1 species